GGAGCUGUACUUCUGGAGCAGAUGGUCAAUGCAACUAAUAUCAUGAGGGUAGAAGAAGUAGUUUAGGAUUUUAUCUGAUAUUAAUAUGUUAGAGUACACGGGAGGUUCGAUUCCUCCCUGCUCCGCCA
rnacentral:tRNA from 1 species